rnacentral:rRNA from 1 species
UACAGAGGGGGCAAGCGUUGUUCGGAAUUACUGGGCGUAAAGGGCGCGUAGGCGGCCUGUUAAGUCGAACGUGAAAUCCCCGGGCUCAACCCGGGAACUGCGUCCGAUACUGGCAGGCUUGAAUCCGGGAGAGGGAUGCGGAAUUCCAGGUGUAGCGGUGAAAUGCGUAGAUAUCGGAAGGAACACCGGUGGCGAAAGCGGCGCGCUGGACCUCUUCUGACGCUGAGGCGCGAAAGCCAGGGGAGCGAAC